AUUGAACGCUGGCGGCAUGCUUUACACAUGCAAGUCGAACGGUAACAGGCCUUCGGGUGCUGACGAGUGGCGAACGGGUGAGUAAUGCAUCGGAACGUACCCAGAGGUGGGGGAUAACGCAGCGAAAGCUGUGCUAAUACCGCGUGUGAUCUGAGGAUGAAAGCGGGGGACCGAGCAGCAAUGUUUGGCCUCGCGCCUUUGGAGCGGCCGAUGUCGGAUUAGCUAGUUGGUGGGGUAAAGGCCUACCAAGGCGACGAUCCGUAGCUGGUCUGAGAGGACGACCAGCCACACUGGGACUGAGACACGGCCCAGACUCCUACGGGAGGCAGCAGUGGGGAAUUUUGGACAAUGGGCGCAAGCCUGAUCCAGCAAUGCCGCGUGCGGGAAGAAGGCCUUCGGGUUGUAAACCGCUUUUGGCAGGAACGAAACGGUGUCCGCUAAUACCGGGCGCUAAUGACGGUACCUGCAGAAUAAGCACCGGCUAACUACGUG
rnacentral:rRNA from 1 species